rnacentral:rRNA from 1 species
CUACGGGAGGCAGCAGUGGGGAAUUUUGGACAAUGGGCGCAAGCCUGAUCCAGCAAUGCCGCGUGCAGGACGAAGGCCUUCGGGUUGUAAACUGCUUUUGUACGGAGCGAAACGGCUUUCUCUAAUACAGGGGGCUAAUGACGGUACCGUAAGAAUAAGCACCGGCUAACUACGUGCCAGCAGCCGCGGUAAUACGUAGGGUGCGAGCGUUAAUCGGAAUUACUGGGCGUAAAGCGUGCGCAGGCGGUUUUGUAAGACAGAUGUGAAAUCCCCGGGCUCAACCUGGGACCUGCAUUUGUGACUGCAAAGCUGGAGUGCGGCAGAGGGGGAUGGAAUUCCGCGUGUAGCAGUGAAAUGCGUAGAUAUGCGGAGGAACACCGAUGGCGAAGGCAAUCCCCUGGGCCUGCACUGACGCUCAUGCACGAAAGCGUGGGGAGCAAACAGGAUUAGAAACCCGGGUAGUCC